rnacentral:rRNA from 1 species
GCGCACGCUGGCGGCAGGCUUCACACAUGCCAGUCGAGCGGGCACUUUCGGGUGUCAGCGGCGGACGGGUGAGUAACGCGUGGGAACGUGCCCUCUGGUUCGGAAUAACUCAGGGAAACUUGAGCUAAUACCGGAUACGCCCUUUUGGGGAAAGGCUUGCUGCCGGAGGAUCGGCCCGCGUCUGAUUAGCUAGUUGGUGAGGUAACGGCUCACCAAGGCGACGAUCAGUAGCUGGUCUGAGAGGAUGAUCAGCCACACUGGGACUGAGACACGGCCCAGACUCCUACGGGAGGCAGCAGUGGGGAAUAUUGGACAAUGGGCGCAAGCCUGAUCCAGCCAUGCCGCGUGAGUGAUGAAGGCCUUAGGGUUGUAAAGCUCUUUUAUCCGGGACGAUAAUGACGGUACCGGAGGAAUAAGCCCCGGCUAACUUCGUG